CCAAUAGCGUAUAUUAAAGUUGUUGCAGUUAAAAAGCUCGUAGUUGAAUUUCGGGAUUCAUCCGUUGGUCGGGCCUCACGGUCCGUACUGGUGUGAUGGGUUCCUACCUUCUGAAUAACCGGCAUGCCAUUAAUUUGGUGCGCCGGGGAAGCAGAACUAUUACCUUGAAAAAAUUAGAGUGCUUAAAGCAGGCAAGUGCCUGAAUAGGUUAGCAUGGAAUAAUAAAAUAGGACGGCAUGGUUCUAUUUUGUUGGUUUCUAGGAUCACCGUAAUGAUUAAUAGGGAUAGUUGGGGGCAUUAGUAUUCAAUUGUCAGAGGUGAAAUUCUUGGAUUUAUUGAAGACUAACUUCUGCGAAAGCAUUUGCCAAGGAUGUUUUCAUUAAUCAAGAACGAAAGUUAGGGGAUCGAAGACGAUCAGAUACCGUCGUAGUCUUAACCAUAAACUAUGCCGACUAGGGAUCGGACGAUGUUAAUUUUUUAAUGACUCGUUCGGCGCCUUACG
rnacentral:rRNA from 1 species